rnacentral:rRNA from 1 species
GAACGCUGGCGGCGUGCUUAACACAUGCAAGUCGAACGGAAAGGCCCUGCUUUUGUGGGGUGCUCGAGUGGCGAACGGGUGAGUAACACGUGAGUAACCUGCCCUUGACUUUGGGAUAACUUCAGGAAACUGGGGCUAAUACCGGAUAGGAGCUCCUGCUGCAUGGUGGGGGUUGGAAAGUUUCGGCGGUUGGGGAUGGACUCGCGGCUUAUCAGCUUGUUGGUGGGGUAGUGGCUUACCAAGGCUUUGACGGGUAGCCGGCCUGAGAGGGUGACCGGCCACAUUGGGACUGAGAUACGGCCCAGACUCCUACGGGAGGCAGCAGUGGGGAAUAUUGCACAAUGGGCGGAAGCCUGAUGCAGCAACGCCGCGUGCGGGAUGACGGCCUUCGGGUUGUAAACCGCUUUCGCCUGUGACGAAGCGUGAGUGACGGUAAUGGGUAAAGAAGCACCGGCUAACUACGUGCCAGCAGCCGCGGUGAUACGUAGGGUGCGAGCGUUGUCCGGAUUUAUUGGGCGUAAAGGGCUCGUAGGUGGUUGAUCGCGUCGGAAGUGUAAUCUUGGGGCUUAACCCUGAGCGUGCUUUCGAUACGGGUUGACUUGAGGAAGGUAGGGGAGAAUGGAAUUCCUGGUGGAGCGGUGGAAUGCGCAGAUAUCAGGAGGAACACCAGUG